CGGGGUGUAGGUCAAUGGUAGACGGCAUGCUUUGGGAGCAUGCAACGCAGGUUCGAUUCCUGCCACCCCGA
rnacentral:tRNA from 1 species